CUUAUUACAAUCGUUGGAUUAAAAGCAAACUCGCGCGAGAUUAACGACCGUGAUUUAAUUUGGCAAUUCGUUGGAUUCAACCGUUUCUCUCUCCUCUUUCUCAUAUCAAUGACGCCAUUUUCUCUCUCCUCAAGCAUUAUUCAAGGUUCCUCAAAUCAAUCAACAGCUCUAAUAUCAGAAAAAGUUGCUACAAUUUACAUACUUCUUCAAUAUUGUGCUGAAUCCGUUGCAAAAUUUCUCAACAUUAGAGGACUUGGUUUGUUUCUUCUGGCUAUUUGAGUUGCUUAUUAUGUAAUUGAGGUAGUUGGUGCAAACCCUAUUGCAGGUGCUUCCUUUCGCAAAUCUGCUUCCUUGGAAGAGUGUGUGUUUUUUGCUUCUUCUAAUUCUGAUGAUGGCUCGGCCAUAAAUGCUGCAAUGCCUCACUCACUUGAUGCUGAUCAUGACUAAGUUGCCUCCUCUGAUCAGCAGCACCAAAAUGUGCUCAACAUUUCCUUUGAACAUGUUGCUUCAGCUCAUGAUAUGUCACAAACUCCACCUCUUUGUCCUAUUUCCCCUGCUUAUUUUGCUAAUCUUUGCUUGGAAGAUGAAUGUGCAGGUGACAAUAUGGUGAAGGGUAAUUCAUCGAGGCAUUGCCAACACUUUAAGGAAAAUUCUUUGCCAAAAGAUGAGAAGCCUGUUGACUGAAAAUCUGUUGAAGUAGCAAAGGUUGAGACUGCAGCAGAAGCUGCUCCCAAGAAAACUAAAGAAGCACCUGCUGCUGUAGAAGAUAGCAGUGAAGCUCGCACCCUCUGCUCCAGCUGUUGGGAGCAGUGAGGCUCAAGCUGAUGAUGCUCAAACAAGCAAUGAGGAUGCUGCUCCAGCAGCUGAGGAAAGCAGUGAAGCUGCAGAGCAAAAAGAAGCUCUAAAGCAAGAAGAAGCUAGAAAAUAUAAUGGUCAUUUUACUUAAAAAAAAAAAAAAGUUAAAUGAGAUUAUCGAUUAUGCUUUAGAUUGUUACUAGGUGUACUAAAACCUAUUAGCUCAAGUGGUAGAGCAUUAUGCAAAUGCAUAGGGGAUGUAGGUUCAA